rnacentral:rRNA from 1 species
UACGUAGGGUGCGAGCGUUGUCCGGAAUUAUUGGGCGUAAAGGGCUCGUAGGCGGUUUGUCGCGUCGGGAGUGAAAAUCCAGGGCUUAACUCUGGACUGGCUUUCGAUACGGGCAGACUAGAGGUAUGCAGGGGAGAACGGAAUUCCUGGUGUAGCGGUGAAAUGCGCAGAUAUCAGGAGGAACACCGGUGGCGAAGGCGGUUCUCUGGGCAUUACCUGACGCUGAGGCACGAAAGCGUGGGGAGCAAACAGG